rnacentral:rRNA from 1 species
AUGAUUGUUAACCUAUUUGAUGGGUCAGAUACAUUACACUAGAAACUUUCGGUGUCAGGAGUUUUCUCAGUGAACUCUAUGUACAUGGAUUUGAUAUACACUGAUCCAAUCCCAAAGUCGCUUCACGGCUAGAAAAUUAAGGUACCUUUAAAAAUAAAUGUCUUCAUGUGGUUUGUUCACAAGGAUGUGAUCUUGACUAAGGACAACUUGGCAAAGCAUAAAUGGGAUGGUAGUAAACGGUGUUGUUUUUCUCGAAUUCCCACUAGCCAAGUUACUGCAGCAUACGGUUCAUGUGGCAUUCAAUAUCAGUCCCUUCUAGCUACAUGCGGCGUUUUUUUGGCUCCUUCAGCUGUCUCCCGAUGGGCUGGGCGAACGGUCAGGCGGCCGCGCGGAGGUCCGGGCGGGUGA